AACGAACGCUGGCGGCAGGCUAAACACAUGCAAGUCGAGCGCCCCGCAAGGGGAGCGGCAGACGGGUGAGUAACGCGUGGGAAUCUACCCAUCUCUACGGAAUAACGCAUGGAAACGUGUGCUACUACCGUAUGCGUCCUUAGGGAGAAAGAUUUAUCGGAGAUGGAUGAGCCCGCGUUGGUUUAGCUAGUUGGUGGGGUAAAGGCCUACCAAGGCGACGAUCCAUAGCUGGUCUGAGAGGAUGAGCAGCCACACUGGGACUGAGACACGGCCCAGACUCCUACGGGAGGCAGCAGUGGGGAAUAUUGGACAAUGGGCGCAAGCCUGAUCCAGCCAUGCCGCGUGAGUGAUGAGGGCCCUAGGGUUGUAAAGCUCUUUCACCGGUGAAGAUAAGGACGGUAACCGGAGAAGAAGCCCCGGCUAACUUCGUGCCAGCAGCCGCCGUAAAAC
rnacentral:rRNA from 1 species